rnacentral:rRNA from 1 species
CAAUUUAAACAACGAAGAGUUUGAUCCUGGCUCAGGAUGAACGCUAGCGACAGGCUUAACACAUGCAAGUCGAGGGGCAGCACAGGUAGCAAUACCGGGUGGCGACCGGCGCACGGGUGAGUAACGCGUAUGCAACUUACCUAUCAGAGGGGGAUAACCCGGCGAAAGUCGGACUAAUACCGCAUGAAGCAGGGGUCCCGCAUGGGGAU